rnacentral:rRNA from 1 species
CCUACGGGUGGCAGCAGUGAGGAAUAUUGGUCAAUGGACGAGAGUCUGAACCAGCCAAGUAGCGUGAAGGAUGACUGCCCUAUGGGUUGUAAACCUCUUUUAUACAGGAAUAAAACGAGGCACGUGUGCAUUUUUGCAUGUACUUUAUGAAUAAGGACCGGCUAACUCCGUGCCAGCAGCCGCGGUAAUACGGAGGAUCCGAGCGUUAUCCGGAUUUAUUGGGUUUAAAGGGAGCGUAGAUGGGUUGUUAAGUCAGUUGUGAAAUUUUGCGGCUCAACCGUAAAAGUGCAAUUGAUACUGGCAUUCUUGAGUACAGUUGAGGUAGGCGGAAUUCGUGGUGUAGCGGUGAAAUGCUUAGAUAUCACGAAGAACCCCGAUUGCGAAGGCAGCUUACUAAACUGUGACUGACAUUGAUGCUCGAAAGUGUGGGUAUCAAACAGGAUUAGAUACCCUUGUAGUC